GGCAACAAAGAGCUGCAGGAAAAUACUUGCAGAUCUACAAAUGUGGUUUGGAAAGUCCAGAAGUCCCUCUGUCAGUUGGAAGAGUUCAUCGGUUAAACAGAAUCAGGUGAUUAUGAUGCAUGGACUGGCUUGGAGUGAGGCACCUUUACU